UGAUUACAGGAAGUAAUUGAUUUGACUGUGCCUAGAAAUGGACGUCCCCUUUCCAAUCAAUACUAUGGCUCUGAGCAGCUGAGCUGGUAGCUCCUGUCUGAGCAGUGAAGCAGGGGCACCAUCUUGAGGUCCUGCCAUCUGCUCUCCAUGGGUCCUGCAUACCCAGCUAUGCAGAUGGGGAACUCCUUUCCCACCCCAAAUUGCAGCAGUCCCCAAACUGCGGAAGAUUCACCAAGCCUUAACCCAUAAGAAAGAGUCCAUUUUGAGCUCUGUUUCCUGCAUCAUUCAAAAGGAAUGCUCCUGGCCUAAAAUCUCCUUAGUCUGGAGGACGAAAAGUUUUUCCUAAGUCAGGAAAACACAUUGAAAACCAAAAAAAGGAAAGAUCAAAUAAUGUGGAGAGAUAACAACAAUUUUGAAAAGCAAGAAAAAUGGGAAGUGAUAGGCCAAGCAGAUAUUCAAGGAUGUUGUGGAAUUAUGGCGUGGCGCUGACAUAAGAAAAAUAGACAUCAAUUGAAUGAAACAUAAAAGCAAGACUUUAAUAUUUGCAACAUAAUUCAAUGAGAAAAGGGAAGAUCAUAAAAUAAAUUAUAGUGGUAUAAAUUAUUAGCAAUUUGGAGGCAAAUAUACUCUUACUGUGUGCGCGCGCGUGCACACACACACACACACACACACACACCGGGAGAGUGUAGUGAUUAAGAAAGCAGCAUCUAUAGUCAGCAAGUCUGGGAUUAAAUCCCAGAUCUAAUUUAUUUAGCUGUGUUAUUUAAUCUUGCAAAUUGCACAAUCUCUUUGUGCCUAGUUUUCCUUAUAUUACACAGAGGAAGUGAUAAUAAUAUUUACUUUACAGGGUUGUUAUGAGGACUGAGUGAAUCAAAACAUGUAAAGCAUUUAGAACAGUUUCUAACAUACAGUAAGCACUCAGUAUAUGUUAAUCAUUGUAAUGGAGGGAAAAUCAUAAUAAAAAAAAGUCACUUCAUUUCAAUAUAUUCUACUAAAU